GCGAGAGUGGCGGAAUUGGUAGACGCGCUAGAUUUAGGAUCUAGUAUUCGAGAGGAUGUGGGGGUUCGAGUCCCCCCUUUCGCACUA
rnacentral:tRNA from 1 species